UACAGAGGGUGCGAGCGUUAAUCGGAAUUACUGGGCGUAAAGCGCACGUAGUCGGCUUUGCAAGUCGGUUGUGAAAUCCCCGGGCUCAACCUGGGAACUGCAUCCGAGACUGCAUUGCUAGAGUAUGGGAGAGGGAAGCGGAAUUUCUGGUGUAGCAGUGAAAUGCGUAGAUAUCAGAAGGAACAUCAGUGGCGAAGGCGGCUUCCUGGACCAAUACUGACGAUCAGGUGCGAAAGCCGUGGGGAGCAAACAGG
rnacentral:rRNA from 1 species